GCCCCCGUAGGCUAACGGAUAGACCACGACGCUUCGGACGUCGUUGUGCGGGUUCGAUUCCUGCCGGGGGCA
rnacentral:tRNA from 4 species